rnacentral:rRNA from 1 species
UACACGGGGUGCAAACGUUGCUCGGAAUUAUUGGGCGUAAAGCGCGCGUAGGCGGUUACUCAAGUCGGAUGUGAAAGCCCUCGGCUUAACUGAGGAAGUGCACCCGAAACUGAGUAGCUAGAGUACUAAAGAGGGUCGCGGAAUUCCCGGUGUAGAGGUGAAAUUCGUAGAUAUCGGGAGGAACACCGGUGGCGAAGGCGGCGACCUGGGUAGAUACUGACGCUGAGGCGCGAAAGCGUGGGGAGCAAACAGG